rnacentral:lncRNA from 1 species
GUGGGUUUGUUAUCCUGAGAGUGAGUUUAUUUUAAAACUUACUUUGGGUGUGCUCUUGUUCUCUUGAAUUCUCACUUUCUGCUUUGCAGCGAUGUUUGCCCAGGCUGGCAUCAUGAUAUUGAACUUUUCAAUCUUCACAACUACAAGAUCUUCUUAUUAAAAAGCUUCUGCACAGCAAGAGAAGCCACCCACAGUAUGAAAUCAGUAUGGAGAUACCUCAAGGAACUAAGACUGGAAAUCCCAUUUAUCCCACCUAUUGCCCUGUUGUGUAUCUUCCCCAAAGAAUUAAAAGAAUCAUAACAAACUGAUAUAUGUGCACCCAUGUUUAUAGCAGCACAAUUUGUAAUAUCUAAAACGUGGAAGCAGCCCUAUUGCCCAUCAACUGGAGGCUGAAUUAAGAAAACAUACUUUUUAAAAACAUGGAAUACUACUCAGACAUAAAAAAUGAGAAAUUAGAGACUUCUAUACCUAAUGGAUGCACAUUGAGGAGAUACUCUUAAGUGAAAUAAAUCU